rnacentral:rRNA from 1 species
GAUCCUGGCUCAGGAUGAACGCUGGCGGCGUGCCUAAUACAUGCAAGUAGAACGCUGAAGCUUGGUGCUUGCACCGAGCGGAUGAGUUGCGAACGGGUGAGUAACGCGUAGGUAACCUGCCUGGUAGCGGGGGAUAACUAUUGGAAACGAUAGCUAAUACCGCAUGACAACAAUUAUUGCAUGAUAACUGUUUAAAAGGGGCAACUGCUCCACUACCAGAUGGACCUGCGUUG